rnacentral:lncRNA from 1 species
AGUGAUGAGUGAUGGUAGAAUAAGGUUAUUUUUUAACACAUGUAUUAAAAUAUGAACAAAAACCUUUUUAAAAAUAUAUUUGCUUAUAUUAUAAAAAGUGUUGAAGACACACUGCAGUGAAAAUAUAACUAGCAGCAAUUGUAAGGUAUAACAUGCUAGAAGUAAAUGCAGGAAAA